rnacentral:rRNA from 1 species
GACGAACGCUGGCGGCGUGCCUAAUACAUGCAAGUAGGACGCAGUUGCGAACGGGUGAGUAACGCGUAGGUAACUACCUAUUAGAGGGGGAUAACUAUUGGAAACGAUAGCUAAUACCGCAUACUAGUAGAUGGACCUGCGUUGUAUUAGCUAGUAGGUAGGGUAAUGGCCUACCUAGGCAACGAUACAUAGCCGACCGGAGGGGGUGAGCGGCAAGACUGGGACUGGGAAAAGACCAAGAAUCCUACGGGAGGCAGCAGGAGGGAAUCUUCGGCAAUGGGGGGAACCCUUACCGGGCACCGCCGCGUGAGUGAAGACGGUUUUCGGAUAGUAAAGCUCUGUUGUAAAGGAAGCGGUACUUAACCAGAAAGGGACGGCUAACUACGUGCCAGCCGCCGCGGUAAUAC